GUAAACGAUGAGUGCUAGGUGUUAGGGGGUUUCCGCCCCUUAGUGCUGAAGUUAACGCAUUAAGCACUCCGCCUGGGGAGUACGGCCGCAAGGCUGAAACUCAAAAGAAUUGACGGGGACCCGCACAAGCGGUGGAGCAUGUGGUUUAAUUCGAAGCAACGCGAAGAACCUUACCAGGUCUUGACAUCCCACUGGCCGCUAUGGAGACAUAGCUUUCCCUUCGGGGACAGUGGUGACAGGUGGUGCAUGGUUGUCGUCAGCUCGUGUCGUGAGAUGUUGGGUUAAGUCCCGCAACGAGCGCAACCCUUGAUCUUAGUUGCCAGCAUUUAGUUGGGCACUCUAAGGUGACUGCCGGUGACAAACCGGAGGAAGGUGGGGAUGACGUCAAAUCAUCAUGCCCCUUAUGACCUGGGCUACACACGUGCUACAAUGGAUGGAACAAAGGGGAGCAAAACCGCGAGGUCAAGCAAAUCCCAUAAAACCAUUCUCAGUUCGGAUUGCAGGCUGCAACUCGCCUGCAUGAAGCCGGAAUCGCUAGUAAUCGUGGAUCAGCAUGCCACGGUGAAUACGUUCCCGGGUCUUGUACACACCGCCCGUCACACCACGAGAGUCGGUAACACCCGAAGUCGGUGAGGUAACCUUUAUGGAGCCAGCCGCCGAAG
rnacentral:rRNA from 1 species